rnacentral:ncRNA from 1 species
GAAAAGAUAGUCGCCCAAAGCGAUUUUUUUUAUAGCUGAAAUCUAGUUAAAUCAAACCUUUCAAAAGGGUAUUACAAAUCA